rnacentral:rRNA from 1 species
GAUGAACGCUGGCGGCGUGCCUAAUACAUGCAAGUCGAGCGAACGGACGAGAAGCUUGCUUCUCUGAUGUUAGCGGCGGACGGGUGAGUAACACGUGGAUAACCUACCUAUAAGACUGGGAUAACUUCGGGAAACCGGAGCUAAUACCGGAUAAUAUUUUGAACCGCAUGGUUCAAAAGUGAAAGACGGUCUUGCUGUCACUUAUAGAUGGAUCCGCGCUGCAUUAGCUAGUUGGUAAGGUAACGGCUUACCAAGGCAACGAUGCAUAGCCGACCUGAGAGGGUGAGCGGCCACACUGGAACUGAGACACGGUCCAGACUCCUACGGGAGGCAGCAGUAGGGAAUCUUCCGCAAUGGGCGAAAGCCUGACGGAGCAACGCCGCGUGAGUGAUGAAGGUCUUCGGAUCGUAAAACUCUGUUAUUAGGGAAGAACAUAUGUGUAAGUAACUGUGCACAUCUUGACGGUACCUAAUCAGAAAGCCACGGCUAACUACGG